GCUGGUUGGUGCCUGAAAUCUGUGCGUUGCCCCUUUAAUUGUGUCCCCAGCCCUCGGGCGUUUCUGUCCAACGCCCACGUCAGCAAAUACCUUUUGUUUCUCUCACGUUGGGGCUACUUGUUUUAGGGCGCAAAGGAACGGCCUCGAAAGGGGGUCCUUCCCCAACCGAGAACCAGGAAUCUUCCCUCGGCCCGCGCGCGCGACCGGCCGGUGCGCCGCGGCCCGCGGAAAGCCUCCAAAAUCCUCAGCAAGCUUCUACUCCAGUCUUAUCUCCUCCAUGCCUCAGGACAAUCCUCCAAACACAGACUGUUUGACUUAGAAUCUUCCCUUUUUACUCCAUUCAAGAGCAGCAUUCAUAAAUUUCCAG
rnacentral:lncRNA from 1 species